rnacentral:rRNA from 1 species
CCAGGCUAACAACCUUGGGUAUGGUAACAGCAUGUGGAAUAGGGAGAAUCUGCAGCCAAGCCCCACUUCUUGGGGUGCAGUUCACAGGCCAAAUGGUAGUGGGCACUCUGGUGCUUAAGAUAUGGUCGAGUCCCAAUUGCAAAGUUGGGUACAAGUACUCUGAUUGAUUACAUAGUUGUAAAUGCAAAUGUUCCGUAGGUGAACCUGC